rnacentral:rRNA from 2 species
UGGCCUACGGGAGGCAGCAGUGGGGAAUCUUGGACAAUGGGGGCAACCCUGAUCCAGCCAUGCCGCGUGAGUGAAGAAGGUCUUCGGAUUGUAAAGCUCUUUUGCCAGGGACGAUAAUGACGGUACCUGGAGAAUAAGCCCCGGCAAACUUCGUGCCAGCAGCCGCGGUAAUACGAAGGGGGCUAGCGUUGUUCGGAAUUACUGGGCGUAAAGCGCACGUAGGCGGGUGGUUAAGUCAGGGGUGAAAUCCCGGGGCUCAACUCCGGAACUGCCUUUGAUACUGGCCAUCUAGAGAUCGGAAGAGGUGAGUGGAAUUCCCAGUGUAGAGGUGAAAUUCGUAGAUAUUGGGAAGAACACCGGUGGCGAAGGCGGCUCACUGGUCCGAUACUGACGCUGAGGUGCGAAAGCGUGGGGAGCAAACAGGAUUAGAUACCCCGGUAGUCUC